rnacentral:tRNA from 1 species
AUUUAAAUAGUUUAAUAAAAAAUAUUGAUUUGUGGUGUCAAUGAUAUGAAUUAAAUUCAUUUUAAAUU